rnacentral:rRNA from 1 species
GACGAACGCUGGCGGCGUGCCUAAUACAUGCAAGUCGAGCGGAUCUUCAUUAGCUUGCUUUUGAAGAUCAGCGGCGGACGGGUGAGUAACACGUGGGCAACCUGCCUGUAAGACUGGGAUAACUUCGGGAAACCGGAGCUAAUACCGGAUAAUCCUUUUCCUCUCAUGAGGAAAAGCUGAAAGACGGUUUCGGCUGUCCCUUACAGAUGGGCCCGCGGCGCAUUAGCUAGUUGGUGAGGUAACGGCUCACCAAGGCGACGAUGCGUAGCCGACCUGAGAGGGUGAUCGGCCACACUGGGACUGAGACACGGCCCAGACUCCUACGGGAGGCAGCAGUAGGGAAUCUUCCGCAAUGGACGAAAGUCUGACGGAGCAACGCCGCGUGAGCGAUGAAGGCCUUCGGGUCGUAAAGCUCUGUUGUCAGGGAAGAACAAGUAUCGGAGUAACUGCCGGUACCUUGACGGUACCUGACCAGAAAGCCACGGCUAACUACGUGCCAGCAGCCGCGGUAA